UCGUCCCUCCGUCGUCCGCCACGCCCCAUCCCCCCGUCCCCACCCACCAGGCCCCGCUUUCUUCCCCCAAGAAAGCCUUAUGGCGAUGGCACCAUCUAAAUCGACGGGCGGUCCGGCGGCCGGCAACGGCCGGUGGCCGCAUGCGCCUCUCUACCCAGAGCAGUCCCGUCACUCUUUCCUAAUUAGGCGAUGGCACCUACGGAAUCCGCGAGCUGUCCGGCGGCCAGCCACGGCACACGGAUGAGGGGAUGCCUCACUCACCUUCUACGCCUGCCCGAGCGAGGACGGGAUGGGGGCGAUGCGACGGCGCGCGUGUGCUCCGCCAUCCGCCAGCUUCGUCCUCAUCCGCGUGAGGGUACUUAUGUGAAAGGAUUGUAGAAGAGGUUAUAUCACCUGCGGCUGCACACACACACUCUUAUAGCAUCUGGAGAAGACAAUGGCAGGAGCUCUGCCUUUUCAUUAAAGAAGUGGGAAAUCUUUACAAGCUGAAAACAGCUGGGAUGAAACGAAAAGGAAAGAAAACAACCACUCAGGCAGCUACUCCCUGAAAGCCCAUUCUCGAAAAAAAAAACUCCCUGAAAACCACCAUCUGCGACUGAAGAUCUGCACGGAUGAGAGACACUGCCUCAUCAGACGAGGCUUCCUUCUUAUCAAACCCUCUACGAUUACGCUCUUUCCACAGAUGCCACACAACAUAUGCCGACAUGAUUAUCAUCCGCCUGCUCUGUUUUUUUUUCAUGUCUUGAUUCAUGAGCAGCUUUUCUCUACCAUUCACAGAUGGACCAAGAGCUGAGAGCGGUCUCAGAUGGCCAGGAUUCAAGGAGUCGAAUGCAAACCAGAUAGGUCUUUGCAAAAGGGCAGACCAAUGCCAGAUGUGCAGCAGACUCCAUUUCUUGAUCACAAAGGGAACAAUGAUCAUUGUGCCAUCCUGUUUCCAACCUGAAUCUGAGUACAAGCCGCAAAGAGCUGACGGUCAGAAGCAUCGCAUGGAACCUGCAUGCCUUUCUAAGGUCUAUCCAUAGAUUCUCACAAAGAGCUGACGGUCAGAAGCAUCGCAUGAAGCCGCAAAGGUCUAAUUUAUUGGAGACGGAUGG